AACGAACGCUGGCGGCAGGCUUAACACAUGCAAGUCGAACGCACCGCAAGGUGAGCGGCAGACGGGUGAGUAACACGUGGGGAUCUGCCCAAUGGUACGGAAUAGCUCCGGGAAACUGGAAUUAAUACCGUAUGUGCCCUUCGGGGGAAAGAUUUAUCGCCAUUGGAUGAACCCGCGUCGGAUUAGCUAGUUGGUGUGGUAAAGGCGCACCAAGGCGACGAUCCGUAGCUGGUCUGAGAGGAUGAUCAGCCACACUGGGACUGAGACACGGCCCAGACUCCUACGGGAGGCAGCAGUGGGGAAUAUUGGACAAUGGGCGCAAGCCUGAUCCAGCCAUGCCGCGUGAAUGAUGAAGGCCUUAAGGUUGUAAAGCUCUUUCGCCGACGAAGAUAAUGACGGUAGUCGGAGAAGAAGCCCCGGCUAACUUCGUGCCAGCCGCCGCCGUAAAAC
rnacentral:rRNA from 1 species